UGGGGAAUAUUGGACAAUGGGCGAAAGCCUGAUCCAGCCAUGCCGCGUGUGUGAAGAAGGUCUUCGGAUUGUAAAGCACUUUAAGUUGGGAGGAAGGGCAGUAAGCGAAUACCUUGCUGUUUUGACGUUAUCGACAGAAUAAGCACCGGCUAACUCUGUGCCAGCAGCCGCGGUAAUACAGAGGGUGCAAGCGUUAAUCGGAAUUACUGGGCGUAAAGCGCGCGUAGGUGGUUCGUUAAGUUGAAUGUGAAAGCCCCGGGCUCAACCUGGGAACUGCAUCCAAAACUGGCGAGCUAGAGUAGGGCAGAGGGUGGUGGAAUUUCCUGUGUAGCGGUGAAAUGCGUAGAUAUAGGAAGGAACACCAGUGGCGAAGGCGACCACCUGGGCUCAUACUGACACUGAGGUGCGAAAGCGUGGGGAGCAAACAGU
rnacentral:rRNA from 1 species